GAUGAACGCUGGCGGCGUGCCUAAUACAUGCAAGUCGAGCGAACGGACGAGAAGCUUGCUUUUCUGAUGUUAGCGGCGGACGGGUGAGUAACACGUGGAUAACCUACCUAUAAGACUGGGAUAACUUCGGGAAACCGGAGCUAAUACCGGAUAAUAUUUUGAACCGCAUGGUUCAAAAGUGAAAGACGGUCUUGCUGUCACUUAUAGAUGGAUCCGCGCUGCAUUAGCUAGUUGGUAAGGUAACGGCUUACCAAGGCAACGAUGCAUAGCCGACCUGAGAGGGUGAUCGGCCACACUGGACCUGAGACACGGUCCAGCCUCCUACGGGAGGCAGCAGUAGGGAAUCUUCCGCAAUGGGCGAAAGCCUGACGGAGCAACGCCGCGUGAGUGAUGAAGGUCUUCGGAUCGUAAAACUCUGUUAUUAGGGAAGAACAUAUGUGUAAGUAACUGUGCACAUCUUGACGGUACCGAAGCAGAAGCCACGGCUAACUACGUG
rnacentral:rRNA from 1 species